AGCAUCGUAUAAUCACUUGGCUUAAGCACAAUCUUUAUCUUUCUUCUCUUCCUCAGUGCUUGUCUUGGGAUGAUACCCUGGAAUCUUCUCCUUGAUCUUCUCAAGUAUUCCCUUCUUAGCAGGCUCACCUUCCACCGCACAAUCAACCGGAGCAGCCGCCGGAGGUGGCGGAGGAGCCACCGUCUCCUCCUCCACCUUCUUCCCACCGCCUGGCAGCUUCUCCUUGAUCUUCUCCAUAAAGCCCUUCUUCUCUUCAGGCUCUGUCACCACUUCCACAGGUACUGACGUGUCCUCCUCCUUGUGAUGGAUCUUCUCCUCGAUCUUUUCUUUCAAACCCUUCUUUUCCUUCUUCUUCUUCUUCUUCUCACCUCCCUCUUCCACUUCCUCAUCACUCGACUGAAACCAAAAGUUACGUCAGAGUCAUUUUCCACUACAAACUAUCUCGUAUCCGAAUCAUCAAAUAAUAUAAAAAAUAUAUAUAUGAAAUAAAUCUAAUAUGCAUGCACUUACACUAGAGCUGCUGCUGCUGCCGGAUCGAUGAAGCUUCUCGAGCAAGCUAGGUUUAGCCGCCUUUUCUUCUUCUUCCUCGACCACCUUACAAUCCUCGUACUUGGGCUCGGGUUCCGAGACCUGGACCUUCUCCUCAAACUCAGUGGCGAUCACUUUAGUUUCAUCUUUCUCCUCUUUCUUCAUGAAAUCAAACAAACCACGAUCGCUACUCUCGUACUCGGUGGUUUUUUCAACGCUGUGUUGGGGAACUGAAUCAUCUGAAGCCAUUAUCGAAUAUAAAAAAAAUGAAUUAGAUGUAAAUAAUUACUUGUAACGAAAUAUGAUCAAGAUGUGUAUAUGUUGCAGAGAGACUGAUGGUUGAUGAUAUGAGGUAGGAAAGCCGUGGCAUGGUAUUUAUAGGAGGUGACGACGCGGAAUUAACGCGACAAAUUAAAUCGAAAGGAUAUUUAUAAAAGUAAUUGGUACGGUUAAAAAUUUUAGAUAACUUAAUGAACAAUCAAGAUUUAUUAACAUCUCUGGGCAGCUGUAGAAGUGCAACGCGCGUCCUUUAAACUACGUCGGCUGUUCACCUGAUUUCUUAUCAAAGUAUUCAUUUUCAUAGCUAAGAGCAUCUCCAACGUAGGGCUGGCAAUAUCAGACACGACCCGAACCCGACCCAAACCCGUAACCCGAUUUACUGAGACAAAACCCGAAAGUGACCCGGAAAUCACCCGUUUUGACACGAAAUGGACCCGACAUGACCCGAAAUUCUAAUUUCGUUUCUAAUAACUUCAAUUUUUAGUUUUAUUCAAUUUUAAGUGAUUUUAGCUUGACCCGAAAUCGACUCGAAAUUGACCCGAUUGCUGACACGAACACGACCCGUUACCCGAAACUGCCACCCCGUUGGUUAUAAUCGUUGGUUAAAUUGGACCUGUAAGACAUUAUGUAAAAUUUGCUGAAUCUAUAAGACAUUUUGCUACAAUGGUAUUGGCUAUAUUGGUUGGUUAUAAUUUAAAAAUAUUAUGUUAUUAAAUUGUUAAAAUAGAAUAUAUCAGUUCAAUAUGGUAAUAAAUGAUGUACAAUCUUCCUACAGAUUUUCUUACAGACCUGCAGAGGUUCGACAAAUUUAGCCAUCCAUAGGAGGUUGGCUAAAUUUAUAGACAACAGCUCAUCAUGGUAGGAGUUGAGUUUUUGGAGCUGGCUAAAUCUUUUUAUUUUAAGUAAGUCAAUUCACCUUUUAGCCAAGGGCUUCAGAUGGUUGGAGAUGCUCUAAGCAGGCUAUAUUUCUGUAAAAAAAAAAAAAAAAAAAAAAAAGCAGGCUAUAUUAGAAAUUAUGUCCUGCUCGGGAAGCCUGUCUAUAUCAUUAUCUCCAUUUAAUAUUAUUUUUUUUAUCAAAUAAAUUGAUCAAAUUAUAAUAAAAUAAAUAUUUUGUAUAAUCUCUGAUAAUUGUUUUCCAAAACAGAUUAUUACUUAAUGAUUUACUAAUACAAUUUUUAGAUUUAUAUAUAAUUAUAUAAUUUAUAUAAAUUUUAUUCAAAAUAUAAUUCGUGAUCCAUAAAAAUACAAGAAGGAUAAAUUCACAGGAAAAUUGACCGAUAUAGAAGGUUGUAUUUUAAAUAGGUGGAUUACCACUGAAGGGGGACAUCAUCUAGAUAUUGACAUAAUUUUUGUUAGACAACCUCCGAUGGAGAGUCGAAAUUUUGGUCCAUAUUCAAAAGAACUCUUUUUUCAUUACAGUCAUUUAAUCUAGAUUAUAAUCUAAAUUUAAAUAAUAAUAUCAAAUUUUUAUAAUUAUUUUUGUAUUAUUAUUUUUAAUCUUUUAACAAUAUCAUAUUAAUAUUAAGUUUACCAAAAUUUAUUAAAUUUGAAAAAGCUAAAUUUUAGCAAAGAAAAUCUAACAUUUUAUUUGAUUAACGAAAAUAAAAAUUACAAGAUUCAAUAUUACUAUGAAUUAAUAUAAGGGCCGUUUGGUUGAACUUAAAAUAAGUGUUUCUUGCUUAAAAUAAAUAAGUGGAGUAGAAGUUAGAAGCAAGAUAAGACUUAUAAGUGAUUAAAGUGUUUGGUAAAUAAGUAGAAACCCUGAAACAAAAGUUAGUAUUCUUAACUUUUUAUAAGUACUUCUUGAUUUAUCACACAAACGGUACGAAUAAGUGCUACUAACUUAUAAUCCAGAAGCUGGACUUAAAAGUCCUAAACAAACACCCACUUAUUAUUCUCACAAAUGCUCAAUUAAUACAUCUCAAAAUGUGAUAUAAAUUUCUUUAUUUUUUUAUUUUUCGAUGUCGUCAAAGAACUUGCUGAUUAAAUCAAAAAAUAAUCUAUUUAUAUAAAUUGAAGUUUUAUUUUAUAAUACGUUUUCGAAACUUUAGUUUAUAUUACGAUUUCGUAUAAUUAAAGUUUUAUAAGUUUUAUUUGUAAUUAAAUUUUCUUUAUUUUAUGUUUAAUGAAUUUUAUGGAUAAGCAAGUGCAUGUUACAAGGAUAUGGGUAUGCUCAUUCCGGCAAGAGAAUAUGAUGAAUAGGCAGCCUGUCACGCUUUCCAGUACCCCCAUCCACUCAGAUCCAGCCACGUAGUAGAGGAACGUGAAAGGAUGUACUUGCGGGUCCCAAAAAGUCGACCACGAAAAAAAUUCGUCGGGGUCGGUGGAUCAACGUUUAAGAUCAGGACACGUGUCAACUUGAAAUGAAUAGAUGUUUCGAGAUUGAUGAUGUCGUCCUCGGGUAUUUAACUACAAAUUGUUCAUGUACUUCGUGAGUCACAAGACCCAUAACAUUUCCUUCUUUAAAAUUAUAGAAUUAUCGAGAGUUGGUGGACAGAAAUAAUUUAAAGUCUUUUCGCUUAAGUACAAUUAUUUGAAAUUUUAAUAAAAAAGAUAUAAUAAAAAUAGUAAAUAAAAAUGAUCGCAAAAGUUUGAACGAAAUAAUUCCUGUAUGUGGGUGGGCCCAUCUGAGAAGAUAUGUAGUGGUGCCUCCUGAAUUUUUUGUCCAAGUGGAGGAGAGUGGGUCCCAAGAAAGUGGACAUGUGGUCGGUUUAACGUUUGUGGAACCGUUGUCCUUUAUUUUCGUAUCUGCCUAAAAACAGUCGACAGUCGACACUCACAUUUUUUGCUUUGAUUGACGGAGCACGGUGUCUCUUGCACGUGCAUGCCCAUCUGAAUCACGCGAGUUGAUGCUAGCAUCUAAACUCAAGUUAACUAUGGUUUCUCAGUUUCUCUUGGUGUUGUGUUAAUACAUUGUUCUGUCGAAGAAUAAGGACUCCGCAGGAUAUAUGCGAGAGAAGUAAGUUACUUUCAGUGACAUGCUUUUCGAAGAUUUAUUUUUACAAAAUUUCUUGUGUGAUAAUUAAACCGCAAAUAUAUGGUGUUACAUUCUACGAAACACCCCAUAAGCAAAGGCGGACGGAUGAAUAUUUUUUCAGGAAGGCCAACUAAUAAUAUUACUUCACAUUAAAAUUUUGAGGUAAACCAGAAUUGUAGUAGAAUAUAGAGGUUGCUCAUUUACAUCUGGGGCACCUUAUGUGAUUCAUCAUAAACAAACAAUAAAACUACAGUGACUCGUGUGUUCGGCGAUCAGUGUCAUCAAGUGAAUUAAAUUAAAUAUUUUGAUCAGUUCAUCAGAUUAGAUGUUUUGAUUAACAUAUUAAAAUUACUAAUUGAGUGUGUUACUUGACAAGGGGAUUCACUGCAAAUGCUAGCCUAUCUCAUUAUUGCUGAGAUAAUGGCCUACUUAUUCACAUCCACCGCGCAAUGCAUGCAGUUAUUGAUAGACAAAAUAAUCAUGGUAUACACUUUCGUGUACUAGCUAAAGCGUUACGUAUGUCUGGUGGAGAUCAUAUUCACUCCGGCACCGUAGCAGGUAAACUUGAAGAGGAAAGAGACAUCACUAUGAGCUUUGUCGAUUUACUGCGUGAUAAUUUCAUUUAAAAAGAUCGAAAUCACGGUAUUUAUUUCACCCAAGAUUGGGUCUCUCUACCGUGUGUUCUACACUAAUAUUAACUUUGAGAUCAAAUUUCUCAUAUGAAUGAGAUCUCUAAUUUUCUUUCAAAUCUAGGAUCAACAUAAAUAUCCAAAUAUCUAACAUCCAAGAACAAAUCCGAUAGGAGCCCGUAUGACUGAGUUUAUGACUUAUGACUUAACAUGAAUUAUUUGAUAAACUGAGAACUUAAAAUGUCUGUUUAGAUAAUUUUGGUUUAUUAGUUAAUGACUCAUGAUUUAUUAAAAAUAUAAUAAUAAAAAUAAAAGUGAUUUAUGAAUAAUUUAUGACUUAUGAUUAAUUUUUAUAAAGAAAAGUUCAAAAAACUCUAAGUCACUGAAAAAAGUAUCUCAAACGAAGUUCUGGUUUAAAUCAGUUUUUGGCUUAUUCUUGAUUUUAAGAUGACUUCUAACUUAUUACAUAAAUAAACAAUUUGCAGCUGAAAGUUAAAAACAGCUUUAUAAACCAACAUGCUUAAGAUAAGGAAUAUUAUUGAAAAAAUAAAAACAAAUCAAAAAAGAUAACUGAUUUGAGAUUUUUUACCGGUGAAAAUCGAUAAAAAUCCUAAUAACGGUUAGGAAAAUAAGAGAGAGAAAUAAAGAGAUUUUUUUUAGAAUGGUUAGGUUUUUUUGACGGUAAUAAGUAUGAGUGUGCUAGUAGCCAAACCAGAUUAGUCAGAGGUGCGCGCAAGCUGUCACAGACACCUGUUUAAUCAAAAAGAAGAUUUAACAACAUCGCCGUCAUCGAUUAAUUUGAGAGAUUUUGUCAAAAUCUAACCCUAGUUCUGUGUUUUUUGAAAGGAUUGUUUUUCCUGUUUCUGGGCUUGCAAGAGCAACUCCAACAAUCUUUUUAACAUCCUUCUCAAAAAUAAUAUAAAUUAUUGAAUCCUAACUAUUUAAGAUGCUUUUAUAUGAUUCUUCUUCAAUAAUCUCCUUAUCCAUGUUUCCUAAACUAUUUUAUAUUAUUAAAUGAACUUGUAAUAUUUGAAUAAUGAAAUGUGAUAGUAGUAAAAGUUGGCCAAAUUUGAUACUCCCUCUGUCCCAUUUAAUUCUAUACGUUUCUUUUUCACUGCUCGACACGCACUUCAAUGCUCUUAUAAAACAUAGUUCUAUAACUUAUUUUUAAAAUUUUCUUUUCCUGAAUAAAAAUAUAACAUUCAAACUUUUAUACAGAAAAGAAAAAUCUUAAAAAUAAGUUAUAGAACUAUACUUUACGGGAGCAUUAAAGUCCGUGCCGCGUCCCCGUCCCCCAAUGUAUAUAACUCAGGGGGACGGAGGGAGUAUAUAUUAAAGAACGAAACGAGGAGAGUAGAGAGAAUCUUAAGCAUGAGGAGGAUUUUGAAACUCCUACCAAUUUGAGGAAUACUUAGGAGAUGGUUGGAGUAAAAUUUGAACAAAUCUUCUCUAAAAAUAUGACUUAGAAGUGUAGUAAGGAGUUUGUUGGUGAUGAUGUAAGUUUUACUAGCUGACUCCGAAAAAUCAAAUUCUUUUCCGGAAGAUGCAGUGGUAUGUUUGCACUUAAUUUGUUUAUCUUAUUUGUUUGAAUUCAAUUUUGUCACAGUUACUUUCAGAAAAUUAAAUAAAUAUUUGUCACAAGUUAUAGUAAAUGAAAUAUUUGAAUUCGGACAACUCUCUGCAUAAUUAGGUAACGGUCUUCUUUAUCAUGUAUAAAUGAUCUUUUAAUUGGUAUUUAUUCUAAAUAAAUGAUAUUUGAAUUUUUCAUAUACAUUUUUAAGAGCAUCAACUAAAAAUGUCAAUUAUGUCGUAUACUUUCAUCCUCUGUAUUGGUGAAAUCCGUGCCCACGUGUUUAUAGUUCAUAUACCAUUCUUAAAUCUAAAUUCGCCUUAAACGUCCGGUGUAAUUAUCAUGUAGUGUGCAAUAUAAUAAUAAAAUUUAAAUAUAACAAAUUUGAAAUAUAUUUUAUAUAUUAUAUAAUGAAAUAUAUAUUAAAUCUUAUUAUUUACGUGUAGUUGUGUCAAAUUUGUGCAUGUAUAUAUUAUAUAUGUGUGUGAAUAUAAUUUUUUACAUGAAAAUAUAUUUAUCUAUUUAAAAAUAUAUCUUACGUCUGUGUAUUUCCGUAUAUGUGAAACGAAAACUCAUAUACCACACUAAAUUUACCGUAUAUUUUCGGAUUCGUAAAUUUUGUGUUCGUAUACCAGAAUUACCUAAAUACUAACUUUUAGUGUGAUUUUCAUGACUUUUACCAGAUUGUUGGGUUUAUUAACUAUAUAAUUGUAGUUAUUUUAAUUUUUUAUAUCAAAUAAAAACAUCAUUUCCGCUAGAUUUUUCUUUUUUCUUUUAAUUUCAUGUUUAAAAUCAUCAUUUCCGGUAGAUUUUUCUUUUAUUUUGAGGAUAUAGUUUUAGUGUAUCAUUAUUCUGACACUAAUUUAUAUGUUAAUUCUUUCAGGACAUAGAUUGUUCUGUUCUAAAAAAAAUGAAUGUUUUAUGACUUUGUUUUUGAAUUAAAAAACUCUAUAUUUAUAAAUAUUAUAUUUGAAUACAAUUCAUCCACCUUAGGAUUAAUUCUCAUUAAAAAAUUAUAACAAUGAAUAGUAUAGAAAUGACGGUCACAAAAUUUUCUUGUAUGUUUUAAGUUAUUUUUGAUUUGGGGUUAUUUUAGCAAGUUUUUUUUUAAGAGUAUUUAUUUUAGCAAGUUUGACUGCAACUCGCAUGCGAAAUUGGGUGUCCGAACAUAUAUAUCAUAUCUGGAAAAAUUAUGAUUCUUAAUCGAAUAGGCUUCAAAUUUACCGACUCUACGAGUAGCAUCUCUUACUGGUGUAUCUCAGAUUAUUACAAAGAUAAAACUAUGGUGAUUCUAUGGAAUUCUGAAAGUGAUUUGACAUAGUUAUGAGGUACAAUAAUUUUUGAAGCUGGGAAAUUUACGUAUUUCAGUUGAGUUUGUUGUUGUGCAAAUCUGAGCAUAUAGUCACAUACUUCACAGAGGAGAAUUCAGUUUGAAAUUGCAUGCAAACCUCACUCUGAUAUAGUGAUAUGUGAUCGAAAGUCGUUUUAAUUAAACAGGUCUGGUCUGUACAGAAGACGAAUAUUUUUCUAAAGGUUUAGUACUAAUUGGACCAAAUUAAACAAAUUCGUUCGACAGACUUUAGAAACUCUCGGGUGAUCGGAAUCCUUUUCGGCCUUUAUUUUGGAACUUAUGCUUUAUACAUUAUCAGCCAUUUAUAGUAUGCUAUUGGGACAAGACAAGCCCAAACGACUUCAAGAUGCUUUAAUGGGGGUGGCUCCAUUUAGUUCCCUCAUGAUCUCCAGACCUUCUCUACUACCAUUCUGAGAACAAAUUCACACUUAAAAUAAAGCCACAGAAAUAAACCUUUGAUCUUAAAAGAUUCAAAACUUGUCAAGAUCUCUGAAUAUUCAUGCCAGCAACUCAUCCCACGCUAAAGCAAAACAUUCCAUCUGUUUAUGGUUUUAUGCAUAGAGAAUCAUCAUUAAUCUUUGAAAAAGUGAGAUAGAUCCAUGUUGUCGCAGACCCCGAAUUCAAUAAAAAAACAAGUACUAAUAAGCUACAGAUCAUCCAUUAUCGAUUGAAAAACAGUUUAAAGUAUAUCUUCCUGUAUAAAUAUGGUAAAUAAAAAGAAACAAUGCUAACACUGAAGCACUCCCCACAGAUUCUGGAGAAAACAAGCACUUGAGAUGCCAGGUUGCUGCAUAUUAUACUUGGACGUGGGAUCGUAACUGACAAACACCAUCACUUGCACAUAAAAAUGCGAUGACUAGAAUCUAAAGUUUGGAGGUUGCAAGCUUUAUCAGAUCUUUUCGUAGUAUCUUGCCAGACGGAUUCUUCGGAACAGAAGCCACAAACGCCACUCGCCUAAUCUUCUUGUAUGGAGCCACCUGUUCGUCCAUUAACAUAUUAAAUUUCAGAUUCAUUAACUGAUUAUGCAAACUAAAUAAGAGGUAGACUUAAGUUUGAGGCAUGGAGAAGGCAAAAGAUUAUUCAUACCUGUUUAGCAACGAAGUUCAUUACCGCACUUCCAGAAAUAUCACUUCCCGUUUUACGCACCACAUAUGCCAUGGGAAACUGCCCUACCUCCUCAUCUGGGAAUCUGAUACACCAAACAUCAGGACCACAAUAAAUUAACUGGGAAUUACAUUAGCAAAAGAUAUCUUCAAUUUUAGAGUGUCGCUAUUCUCCAAUCCAUAGCAGCCAUAUUGUAGGUUUUUCAAGCAAUGAUCAAAAUGAUAAAUGAAAUCUUACGGAAUAACAGCAGCAUCAGCAAUUUCUGGGUGAGUCAGUAGCAAAGCCUCUAGUUCUGCUGGUGGUACCUAUUAAAACAAGUGUAUUCAUGAGAAUCUCAUCUCGAAGAAAUGUUAUGUUGAAAACUAUCUGUGCUUGUCUGCUUGAAAAACUGAUAUGGUAAAAUUCACCUGAUAGCCCUUGUAUUUGAUCAGCUCUUUCAACCUAUCAACAACAAAGAUGAAUCCGUCAUCAUCAAUGUAGCAUAAAUCUCCGGUUCUUAACCAACCUUCUGAAUCUAAUGUAUUGGCGGUUGCUUCUGCAUUACUGAAGUAACCUGCAUUAAAAACACAUAUAUUUAUUUAUUUUCUUUUUAAAUUAGAAAUCUUCCUAUAGUGAAGAAUUUAAUCAAAACCAUUUAGAAAUUCAGGUUGGCGAAGAACAGAUUGUAUUUAAUCUAAUAUUUGCCCUAAAAUUCAACGAGCUUCACAAAGAUGAACAGCCACAAACUAUUUCUUGUCAAAAUGAUGCUUUUAAAAUGCAGAACCUAUUUCUAUUUGCUUCAACAUAAAGAAGUUCAACGUAUAUUUAAGUUUGCCCAUAUGAUAAUUUGACAAUACAUAGAUUAAUAGCAAUUUGUUGAAGUCAUGUAUGCAACUGGGAUUCAUAUUGUAGUUUCACAACUUCAGGGAAAUGUUUGUUACUUUGUUUCAUGCGAUUAUACCAUAACAUCUUUACUUAAGUGUGGACUCUCGGCUUCAUAUUUAAGUUGUUAUAUUAAGUUAUUCACAAGCUACCUUCUUUUCAGUUCAGAGUUCAUUUUCAUUUGACUAAUGAUACGAGACCACAAGAUAAACUAAUACUUCAACAACAAUCUGUAAAUAAUUAAAACGAAUCAUGUCGUAUAAUUUAGUGCAAAUUCAGCAGAGAAAAACUGCAAAUCUAAACGGAUACUCCUCUGCACAUGUAUAAUAAACAAUAACCAAUCUGUUUUAAAAAUACUUGAACAGAACAGAUGUCUUUAUCUUUCGCAAUAUUUUAGUCAUGCUAACAAAUUUAAUCUCUGCAUGGUUUCAAAGUUCAAAUUAAGGAAUAACACAUGUCAGAUUAAAAAACAUGUCAGGUAAGGAAAAUAAUUUCAGUUAUUGGAAAUCAAUUUACUACUAGAUACCUUUCAUAAUUGUUGGUCCCUUUAGCCAGAGCUCACCCGUCCGAUUAACUCCCAGAGGUUCGCCGGUUUCCGGGUUGACAAUUUUGGCCUCCAUGCUCGGGGACAACAUCCCCGCUGUGCCAUACCUUCUGCUCUCGUCUAACGAAUCUGUUGACGCUCCAAUCCCUGUCGAUUCCGUCAAUCCGUACCCCUGCAAUAUUGCAACACUCGGAAAUUUCUGUACAAAUCCCUCAAUUACUUCCUUACUUAAUGGUGCCCCACCAGAUAACACCGAUUGUAACGAAGAUAAAUCAUAUCGCUUCGUUAUCUGAUCGGCGUUAUUCACUAGUGCCACGAGUAUCGGUGGCACUAGUGGAAGAUAAGUUGCUUUGUACUUCUCGAUUGCCGAGAGCAUCUCGUGCAUCUCGAAUUUCGAGAGUACAACAACUGUCGACCCCGAGGCCAAAAGCCCCGUAGCGAAAGCAGCCAAGCCGUAGAUGUGAAACAUAGGAACGGUGCAGAUAAACGCUUGCGCGCCUUGCUCUAAUUGGAACCGUCCAGUAAUCGUCUGAACCAUCCCGAUUAAGUUGCGGUGCGAGGACACCACUCCUUUGCUAGCUCCCGUCGUACCAGACGAGUACAGCAGUGUCGCAGUAUCGUCCUGCGUGACUCGAUCCUUAACUCUGUUCUGCCUCGCUUCAGUUCUCAUCAUGCUCUCAAAAUUGGCUAUAAUUUUAGAAUUUGUUAUCGAGUUGUCACCGAUCAGAACAAUCGGCAGCUUUGAAUCCGCCAGUUUUGACAGCAGCUCAGGGACCGUAAACGCGAGCUUCGGCUUCGAAUCAGCGAUCUGUUUCGCAAUCUCAGCUGUCGUGUUGAGCGGAUUGGUGGUAGUGAUAAUAGCGCCGAGUGACAUGACCGAAAGACAAACAAUCGGGAAGUAAAUCGAGUUGGGAGAUAGCAAAAGAAUGACAUCACCUUUCCUUACGCCGAGAUUCGAAAGAGCUGUGGCGACGGACUCAACCGCCGCCCAGAGCUGAGGAAACGUGAUCUCGCGUCCCGUUGCGGCGUCGAUGAGCGCGACGUGACCAUGAUGAGAUUGAGAUGAAAUGAAGGUGGUGACAUCAAUGGCUUGAUGACAAGGCAAAGCAAUAGGUUUGCGUUUGCUGUAGAAAGUGGAGUUUGCUUUGCAAAAUCCACUUCUGGGAUCGAGGGCCAUCGGAGUGAUAGAGAGUACUGUACUGUUUUAUUAAAGUUGAGAAUGAGUGGAAAUGAGUUAUCUGAGCAAGAGUGCAGGUGUGUUGUGAAAUUAUAAGAGUCUAGUUAGAGCAGGAGGAUGUUUUUAUAGGACUUGUCUGAAGCGGUAAUGUAGUCAAUGGUCGGCCUACUCGUGCUUCAUUUUUGCAGCCGCUGGAUUAGGAUGGGAAUGUACGAUUGUGAUUGAAACCGUUAUAUUUUUAAUUUCGCUUUUGUUGGCGGAUGACAUAUAAUAGAUACUUCUCAGCCUGAGAUUUUUUUUUUUUUUUCAGGAGUCUGAGAUUUAUUUAUGCUCAAGACUUUCAUCUUUGCCAAGUGAAAUUUUAGAUAUUUCAAUAAGUAAUUAAAUUAUUUUUAGUUUAACUGAUAAUAUAUGAUUGAUUUUACACGUAUUAAUAAUAAUGUGACUUUUUACAUGCACAUAAAUCUAUCAAUUAAAAUUGAUAGAUUUUAAUAGAUAAAUUUAGUGAUUUCACUAGGUCGGGUGAGGCCUUGUGGUAUCAUGGUGGGACCCAGUCCAGAGCCUGUGCGGAGUCUUGAUGAGCUUUAGCGAACUCGGGGUGCUUUGAAUGACGGUGAAGAUGAGCCUUAAGGGUGAGUGAUUUCAUUUAGGCUUAUUUUUUCUCGAUUUGUAUUUCAGUUUUUAUUUUAAUAGUUUGUAUCAAACAGUUACUUGUACAUAUAUUAUAAAUUUCUUAACCUCUCUUGUAAUCCUACCCUUUUUUCAGAAAUGCUUGUAAAUUUAAUUUUACGUUGUUUUCCUAUUUUGUUAAUUUUCAUGUGACGGUGUGGUUGUUUCUGACCGACAUAUUUUACUAUCUGGAGUGGAUAAAAUUCAUAGACUCGUUUAUUUGAAUUCUUGCAUUAUAUUCAAAAGACAACUUAUGAAUUCAAAAUGUAAUUCAAAAUAUUUAGUUUGAAUUCGUUCAAAGUUACCUAAAAAAUGGAAGCCCAUUUACAAAAUUUUAGUUUGACUAUAUCAAUAUAAAAUUGACAGUAAGAUACCAGGGAAAUGUUUUUGAGAAGUGCCAUAUAUUCCAAUCAUUUGUCUCACAAUUUCAUUUUCGGUUUUUUUAGUGUGUGCCCAUGCUAAACGCAGAAUUUGAUAAAUUUGGGAGAUUUUGAUUGUCCCUCAUAUCUUAAUAAUGGUGGAUCCCCUGCAAAUACACCAACCACACCAAUCAAAAUCUUUCAAACAUAUCAAAUUCCGCGCUUAGCAUGUGCCCGUGGGCACACACCAGACAAACCCUUUCAUUUUGUAUAAUGUGAUAAACGAAUGACCCACGCAAAUGAUUGUUUUUAGUUAGACGAUUUAUGAUUUUGCAUAAAGAUCUCAUUAUUUCUGAAACAGAAUCAAUCAAAAUUUAUCAUGAGAUUUAUAAUAUUUUUCUGGGAGUUUUUAAUACUUCCUCCGUCUCAUUUUAAUUGUCACGUUAAGUUUUGUGCCGGUCAGAUUGACUAAAGUUUGACUGGAAUUUAUUAAUAUUUUUUCAAUUGACAAAAUAAAAAAAAUAUAUCAACGGAAAUAAGUUUUAAUCUAUUUUAAGAUGUAAUUUUCAGUUUUUUAAAAUAAUGAGUGAGUGACUUAUAAUCUUUGGUCAAAACUUAGUCAAUUUGACCAACAAAAAUAGAAUUGUUACAAUUAAAAUGAGAUGGAAAGAGUAUUUUUUAGUGUUUUAAUGCGAUUUUAUUUUGGUCACAAUGUUUUAGGGCGAUAUAUGUUGCGUACCCCUUUGGAAGUGAAAUACUGAAGAAGGGUCAAUGGUCGCCGCUGACUCGUGCUACUUUGUCACUUGGAUUUUAACCGUUUAUUUUAUUGCGCAUGAGGCACGAACGAUUUUGAUUAGAAGUUGAUAUUCUAAUGUACCUUCAGAGUUCAGAGCAGCUGCAUACUGCAUGUACCUAAAUUAUUCUUAUAGUACCAACUUUUACAGGAUAAUGAAAUUACUCCUUAGUUCUUUCCUCUUACUUUAAGGUGUCCGGGAGAGGGUUAAAAACCCGAUUUCUGAAUUUAUAAAUUAUAAAUAUUUAUUUGUAUUAUUUGUAUAAAAAAUUAAGAAUAUUGGGUCUGUUCAUUUCAUCAACCACCGAAACUUGGAGUUCCGCCUGCGCGCUUCAAUUUUCCCAGGUGAGAAGGACUAAUAUUGAGUAUCUUUGGCCCUACUUAUUCUCGGAAAAUAAUAUUUUAUUUCUAUGAAAAAAUGAAAUAUUUCUGAAAAAUAUUAGAUAAACUCGAGAAAUUUCCUUUUCUUGAUUUCUAAAAAUGUAUGGCUGCCUGGUUCGGCAUUCUGCUUGCAAAAAUGGUGAUGAUGAUUAUUCCAAAAUGUCCCUACCCAUGAUGAUUUUAAAAGAUAAAGCACAUACCACCUUUUUGCUGGGGACCUGGGAAAUAAUUCUAUUCGGACCUCCCUUUAUGCUGCAUUAAUAAUUCGACUCCCACUCCAUCUUGUGGCGUAUGUAAUCACACAUUCUGGAUCCUUUUUCCUUUCCUUUGCAAAUUGCAAUACUCUAGUAUUAUAUUUUGUGGUCUUCCCGAGCGUGUUCAAGUUCAACACGUCCCAUUGUAUUUUGAAAUAUGUUCUCGUUGAAUGCCGCUUGCUCGUUUCUGUGGAUUGGGGAAGAAUUUCGUUAAUUCUCAUUCAACUUAAUACAAAAUUAAAAUAAUAUAUUUUAAUCAGUUCCAUGUAACUGAUGAAGUAUGCAAAUUGACAAAUUUUACAAAAUUAUGCGCCGUCUCAACGACAGAUUGAACCUCAGAUCUAUAAAAAUAAAAGUUCAGUAUACCAACUCUUUUGUACUUACUGAUGAUUAAAGAAAAAUAAAAGCUUCUGGGCAGGAACAUCUGUCAGAUUUUUGUAGAGUUAUUUUAUCGGUUUGUUUUAGCGUUUGCUGCUGUUCUGAGCUUUUAUCAUCUCAUGGGAAAAUUAUCGAAUGACGGUGAGAGAAGACUAAUUUCGAAUUCCGAUCAUACCACUGGUGUUAUGCGGUCCAACAAAAAACUUAAUUAAAAAUUUCUCCAUCUCAAUUCUGUUCUGUUUCUGAUAACUUCUCAUCUUUUUCUAAUCAAUUAAUUUUCAUAAUGUGAUAAAACUAAGGUAGCAAGUAGAGAUUGUAUCCCCUAAACAGAAUAAUAAACAGUACAUAUAUAUGAAACCAAAUAAAUCAUAUCUUUAAAAGAAUAGUAUAACACAUUGUAAAUUCAUUACAAACCAGCUAGAAAUGACAUGCGAAACAAACUUCUCAUUCAUUUUCAUAGUCAUGGGCGAAUAAUGAAGAAUCAGAGAAUCGAUAUCACUACUUCUAUAGCUGAGCUAUGAGCAGAACUAUCUUACACAGGAAUCAGAACCUUUAAAAUCAUAGUUUCCGAUCCCUUUUUAGUAUCAUAGCCUAAUUGGUGAGUAUAUUUAGAAGCGAAACUCUGGUCUCAAUCAAGCGCCGAAAAAUACAUUCUAACUCAACUUCAAGAUCCUCAAUAGCGACCUCCACAGCCUCUAAUCUUUUAUUCCCCGUCUGAAACGUCGUCGAAUCACAAUUCUCCCACAAGCUCAGACUAUUAACACGGAUGAAUUUCGAUGUAAACGUCCCUAUGUAUGAUUUAUACGAAUCGGGACUAGGCAUAGACAUUAAGGACAUCAGAGACUCCAUUGUCGAAAUCAUCGUAAUCCUCACUUCUCUCAACACAUUCACAACCACGGCCAGAUUAUGAUCAAUAGGAUAGAUGUGAUCCGACUUCAUUUCUUUCAAUGACCGCAAACAAUUCACCAUUUCUCUCUUGAGUUUCUUUCGGUGAACGUAAUAAGCUCCAAGCCUGUUCUCGACCGUGGUUUCGCCUACACUGAUGGUACGGAACGUGGAGUGAAGCUCUUGAAGAUGAUCUUUUACGUGCAUAAGAACAUCUUUGGUGGUGCCGCAAAUGUCAAGCAUUUGGAGAGACGCUUCACAAACCUCAUCAACGUACUUCUCUUCGUGCUGGAGUAAUGCACGUUUCGUGGUUGGAGAGUGGAGUAAAUUGUUCGCGGAGUCUUGGAGUUCCCUGAGGGCAGCGAAAUUCGGACGAGAGUCCAUAAAUAAUAUAUUUUACGAUGUUCGGAUUAUUCAACGAUAUUUCACGAUCAAGACUACAGGCUCAAACGAGAAAUAGAGAAAAUUGUGAUGGCUGGAAUUUGUUAUGGUCAAGAGUGAUGAGAUUAGUCUGUUUUUAUAUGUGAGAAGAAGUGGAGAAAAGAUAUGUUAGAUUUGUGCGAAGGUGAGAGGAAGAAUCGUUGUUAGUAGAAUUAGGGUACACGACAAAUCGCUGUGGAAACAAAGUAUUGGAAAGCAGCUUCGGAGAGGGAGAGAAAUGAUGCGGAUGGUGGAGACAAUUCUAAAUUAGUUUGCUAAUUUAUGCACGAGGGAGAUUGUUACAGCCUGUAGGAUUGGUUGAUUUCAUACACUGUUGUGAUGUCUGACCAGUGACCAUACUUGUUAAAUAUUUACACGGUACGACUCUACUUAUAUUUAACCUUAGCCUAAAGUACAGUGUUCUAAAUUAUUUCUACUUAAUUUUAAGAAUUUAUUUAUUGAUUUAUCAAUUAUAUUCUAGUUUAUUAUUUUUGAUUUAUUAAAAAAAUCUCUCAACAUAAAUUUUAAAUUAAUAAAUAUACUGAUUUUAUCUAUAAUUUAUUGUGUUAAUGCAAUAUAUGUUUUAAAAGGUUGUCAUUAUUGAAAAUGACUAAUAAAGUAAGAAGAUUUUCUUCAUAUAAUUAAAAUAAUUUUUGUUUCAUACUAGUUUUUCAAAAUGUGAUUAGAAUAAUACUUGGAAAUAUUAGGAAGGCAACUAAUAUUUUAUACAGAAACAGGAGAACCUGUUAGAUUCGAGACUAGCAAGUAAGAGUACGCGCGAGACAAGCUAACUAACUUUCUGGAAACCAGAAUUUGUUGAAAGUGCAGUUUAUUCCGUAUAAUUUCGCGACAGGGGAAUUCUUGGUCCGCCUUGGUAGAGGUUAAAAUGAGUUGGUGGUUGACUGCGGAGCAAGGGAAAAGAAAAUUCAAUAGAGGUGCCAUAUCAAUAAAAUAAUGAUAUGAGAAUGUUUGGCAGGACUUUUCGGAUCUGCUAAUUAGAAUUCUAACUUGAAGUUCGUAUAUUAAUGUUGUGUUUGGUUGGGGAGAAUAAAAUAGAAUGGAAUGGAAUGAGUACAAAUAAAAGAAGAUAAUAGAGUGUCGGAGGGAGAAUUUUGAAAAAAAUGAGAGAAUGUAAAUUUUGUAUGAUAAGAUUUGGAUAGAAAAUAGGUUGAUAAGGAAUGGAGCAUUCCUUCACAAAAUGGAGGGUUUGAGCUCUAGUUAAAAGUGAUAAGAAUGGAAUGGUGGAAAAAAUGAAAUCAUUAUACAUUCAACUAAAGUAUAGUUUAAAUCUCAUUCCAUUCCCUACAUUUUCAUUCACCCCAACCAAAUACAACAUAAACUUUAAGCACCCUCUUAAAAUGAAAAAAAUAUAAACACCUCCACCAGAAUCAAUAAAAUUUCCUCUCUAAUUUUAAUACGUAAUGCAUGAGUAUAAACUUUGGUUGUCAACCGUUGGAGCAAACAUUGAUAAGAAAGGUGCAAAACUACAAGAAAAGGAAGAUAAAAUGAAAUAGUUGUAGUUGUGAUGAUUUGGCCUGUUUGGUUAUUUUGGUUGGCACCCUCAAGAUGCUCUGAAACGUGUGAAUCGUAAGGACUGAUAUGCAUUUCUAUAAUGAGCGUCAGGUUAUAUGCAUCUAUUUCUCUAUGAGGUUUUUCCUUGACAUUUAUGCACAGUUUUUAUAUAUAAUUAGGUAAUAUGGUAACUCGCAACUCUCAGGUCGGGCAUUUAGACAACCUUCGGUAGAAACUUUACAAAAAAUANUUUCAUCUUUGCCAAGUGAAAUUUUAGAUAUUUCAAUAAGUAAUUAAAUUAUUUUUAGUUUAACUGAUAAUAUAUGAUUGAUUUUACACGUAUUAAUAAUAAUGUGACUUUUUACAUGCACAUAAAUCUAUCAAUUAAAAUUGAUAGAUUUUAAUAGAUAAAUUUAGUGAUUUCACUAGGUCGGGUGAGGCCUUGUGGUAUCAUGGUGGGACCCAGUCCAGAGCCUGUGCGGAGUCUUGAUGAGCUUUAGCGAACUCGGGGUGCUUUGAAUGACGGUGAAGAUGAGCCUUAAGGGUGAGUGAUUUCAUUUAGGCUUAUUUUUUCUCGAUUUGUAUUUCAGUUUUUAUUUUAAUAGUUUGUAUCAAACAGUUACUUGUACAUAUAUUAUAAAUUUCUUAACCUCUCUUGUAAUCCUACCCUUUUUUCAGAAAUGCUUGUAAAUUUAAUUUUACGUUGUUUUCCUAUUUUGUUAAUUUUCAUGUGACGGUGUGGUUGUUUCUGACCGACAUAUUUUACUAUCUGGAGUGGAUAAAAUUCAUAGACUCGUUUAUUUGAAUUCUUGCAUUAUAUUCAAAAGACAACUUAUGAAUUCAAAAUGUAAUUCAAAAUAUUUAGUUUGAAUUCGUUCAAAGUUACCUAAAAAAUGGAAGCCCAUUUACAAAAUUUUAGUUUGACUAUAUCAAUAUAAAAUUGACAGUAAGAUACCAGGGAAAUGUUUUUGAGAAGUGCCAUAUAUUCCAAUCAUUUGUCUCACAAUUUCAUUUUCGGUUUUUUUAGUGUGUGCCCAUGCUAAACGCAGAAUUUGAUAAAUUUGGGAGAUUUUGAUUGUCCCUCAUAUCUUAAUAAUGGUGGAUCCCCUGCAAAUACACCAACCACACCAAUCAAAAUCUUUCAAACAUAUCAAAUUCCGCGCUUAGCAUGUGCCCGUGGGCACACACCAGACAAACCCUUUCAUUUUGUAUAAUGUGAUAAACGAAUGACCCACGCAAAUGAUUGUUUUUAGUUAGACGAUUUAUGAUUUUGCAUAAAGAUCUCAUUAUUUCUGAAACAGAAUCAAUCAAAAUUUAUCAUGAGAUUUAUAAUAUUUUUCUGGGAGUUUUUAAUACUUCCUCCGUCUCAUUUUAAUUGUCACGUUAAGUUUUGUGCCGGUCAGAUUGACUAAAGUUUGACUGGAAUUUAUUAAUAUUUUUUCAAUUGACAAAAUAAAAAAAAUAUAUCAACGGAAAUAAGUUUUAAUCUAUUUUAAGAUGUAAUUUUCAGUUUUUUAAAAUAAUGAGUGAGUGACUUAUAAUCUUUGGUCAAAACUUAGUCAAUUUGACCAACAAAAAUAGAAUUGUUACAAUUAAAAUGAGAUGGAAAGAGUAUUUUUUAGUGUUUUAAUGCGAUUUUAUUUUGGUCACAAUGUUUUAGGGCGAUAUAUGUUGCGUACCCCUUUGGAAGUGAAAUACUGAAGAAGGGUCAAUGGUCGCCGCUGACUCGUGCUACUUUGUCACUUGGAUUUUAACCGUUUAUUUUAUUGCGCAUGAGGCACGAACGAUUUUGAUUAGAAGUUGAUAUUCUAAUGUACCUUCAGAGUUCAGAGCAGCUGCAUACUGCAUGUACCUAAAUUAUUCUUAUAGUACCAACUUUUACAGGAUAAUGAAAUUACUCCUUAGUUCUUUCCUCUUACUUUAAGGUGUCCGGGAGAGGGUUAAAAACCCGAUUUCUGAAUUUAUAAAUUAUAAAUAUUUAUUUGUAUUAUUUGUAUAAAAAAUUAAGAAUAUUGGGUCUGUUCAUUUCAUCAACCACCGAAACUUGGAGUUCCGCCUGCGCGCUUCAAUUUUCCCAGGUGAGAAGGACUAAUAUUGAGUAUCUUUGGCCCUACUUAUUCUCGGAAAAUAAUAUUUUAUUUCUAUGAAAAAAUGAAAUAUUUCUGAAAAAUAUUAGAUAAACUCGAGAAAUUUCCUUUUCUUGAUUUCUAAAAAUGUAUGGCUGCCUGGUUCGGCAUUCUGCUUGCAAAAAUGGUGAUGAUGAUUAUUCCAAAAUGUCCCUACCCAUGAUGAUUUUAAAAGAUAAAGCACAUACCACCUUUUUGCUGGGGACCUGGGAAAUAAUUCUAUUCGGACCUCCCUUUAUGCUGCAUUAAUAAUUCGACUCCCACUCCAUCUUGUGGCGUAUGUAAUCACACAUUCUGGAUCCUUUUUCCUUUCCUUUGCAAAUUGCAAUACUCUAGUAUUAUAUUUUGUGGUCUUCCCGAGCGUGUUCAAGUUCAACACGUCCCAUUGUAUUUUGAAAUAUGUUCUCGUUGAAUGCCGCUUGCUCGUUUCUGUGGAUUGGGGAAGAAUUUCGUUAAUUCUCAUUCAACUUAAUACAAAAUUAAAAUAAUAUAUUUUAAUCAGUUCCAUGUAACUGAUGAAGUAUGCAAAUUGACAAAUUUUACAAAAUUAUGCGCCGUCUCAACGACAGAUUGAACCUCAGAUCUAUAAAAAUAAAAGUUCAGUAUACCAACUCUUUUGUACUUACUGAUGAUUAAAGAAAAAUAAAAGCUUCUGGGCAGGAACAUCUGUCAGAUUUUUGUAGAGUUAUUUUAUCGGUUUGUUUUAGCGUUUGCUGCUGUUCUGAGCUUUUAUCAUCUCAUGGGAAAAUUAUCGAAUGACGGUGAGAGAAGACUAAUUUCGAAUUCCGAUCAUACCACUGGUGUUAUGCGGUCCAACAAAAAACUUAAUUAAAAAUUUCUCCAUCUCAAUUCUGUUCUGUUUCUGAUAACUUCUCAUCUUUUUCUAAUCAAUUAAUUUUCAUAAUGUGAUAAAACUAAGGUAGCAAGUAGAGAUUGUAUCCCCUAAACAGAAUAAUAAACAGUACAUAUAUAUGAAACCAAAUAAAUCAUAUCUUUAAAAGAAUAGUAUAACACAUUGUAAAUUCAUUACAAACCAGCUAGAAAUGACAUGCGAAACAAACUUCUCAUUCAUUUUCAUAGUCAUGGGCGAAUAAUGAAGAAUCAGAGAAUCGAUAUCACUACUUCUAUAGCUGAGCUAUGAGCAGAACUAUCUUACACAGGAAUCAGAACCUUUAAAAUCAUAGUUUCCGAUCCCUUUUUAGUAUCAUAGCCUAAUUGGUGAGUAUAUUUAGAAGCGAAACUCUGGUCUCAAUCAAGCGCCGAAAAAUACAUUCUAACUCAACUUCAAGAUCCUCAAUAGCGACCUCCACAGCCUCUAAUCUUUUAUUCCCCGUCUGAAACGUCGUCGAAUCACAAUUCUCCCACAAGCUCAGACUAUUAACACGGAUGAAUUUCGAUGUAAACGUCCCUAUGUAUGAUUUAUACGAAUCGGGACUAGGCAUAGACAUUAAGGACAUCAGAGACUCCAUUGUCGAAAUCAUCGUAAUCCUCACUUCUCUCAACACAUUCACAACCACGGCCAGAUUAUGAUCAAUAGGAUAGAUGUGAUCCGACUUCAUUUCUUUCAAUGACCGCAAACAAUUCACCAUUUCUCUCUUGAGUUUCUUUCGGUGAACGUAAUAAGCUCCAAGCCUGUUCUCGACCGUGGUUUCGCCUACACUGAUGGUACGGAACGUGGAGUGAAGCUCUUGAAGAUGAUCUUUUACGUGCAUAAGAACAUCUUUGGUGGUGCCGCAAAUGUCAAGCAUUUGGAGAGACGCUUCACAAACCUCAUCAACGUACUUCUCUUCGUGCUGGAGUAAUGCACGUUUCGUGGUUGGAGAGUGGAGUAAAUUGUUCGCGGAGUCUUGGAGUUCCCUGAGGGCAGCGAAAUUCGGACGAGAGUCCAUAAAUAAUAUAUUUUACGAUGUUCGGAUUAUUCAACGAUAUUUCACGAUCAAGACUACAGGCUCAAACGAGAAAUAGAGAAAAUUGUGAUGGCUGGAAUUUGUUAUGGUCAAGAGUGAUGAGAUUAGUCUGUUUUUAUAUGUGAGAAGAAGUGGAGAAAAGAUAUGUUAGAUUUGUGCGAAGGUGAGAGGAAGAAUCGUUGUUAGUAGAAUUAGGGUACACGACAAAUCGCUGUGGAAACAAAGUAUUGGAAAGCAGCUUCGGAGAGGGAGAGAAAUGAUGCGGAUGGUGGAGACAAUUCUAAAUUAGUUUGCUAAUUUAUGCACGAGGGAGAUUGUUACAGCCUGUAGGAUUGGUUGAUUUCAUACACUGUUGUGAUGUCUGACCAGUGACCAUACUUGUUAAAUAUUUACACGGUACGACUCUACUUAUAUUUAACCUUAGCCUAAAGUACAGUGUUCUAAAUUAUUUCUACUUAAUUUUAAGAAUUUAUUUAUUGAUUUAUCAAUUAUAUUCUAGUUUAUUAUUUUUGAUUUAUUAAAAAAAUCUCUCAACAUAAAUUUUAAAUUAAUAAAUAUACUGAUUUUAUCUAUAAUUUAUUGUGUUAAUGCAAUAUAUGUUUUAAAAGGUUGUCAUUAUUGAAAAUGACUAAUAAAGUAAGAAGAUUUUCUUCAUAUAAUUAAAAUAAUUUUUGUUUCAUACUAGUUUUUCAAAAUGUGAUUAGAAUAAUACUUGGAAAUAUUAGGAAGGCAACUAAUAUUUUAUACAGAAACAGGAGAACCUGUUAGAUUCGAGACUAGCAAGUAAGAGUACGCGCGAGACAAGCUAACUAACUUUCUGGAAACCAGAAUUUGUUGAAAGUGCAGUUUAUUCCGUAUAAUUUCGCGACAGGGGAAUUCUUGGUCCGCCUUGGUAGAGGUUAAAAUGAGUUGGUGGUUGACUGCGGAGCAAGGGAAAAGAAAAUUCAAUAGAGGUGCCAUAUCAAUAAAAUAAUGAUAUGAGAAUGUUUGGCAGGACUUUUCGGAUCUGCUAAUUAGAAUUCUAACUUGAAGUUCGUAUAUUAAUGUUGUGUUUGGUUGGGGAGAAUAAAAUAGAAUGGAAUGGAAUGAGUACAAAUAAAAGAAGAUAAUAGAGUGUCGGAGGGAGAAUUUUGAAAAAAAUGAGAGAAUGUAAAUUUUGUAUGAUAAGAUUUGGAUAGAAAAUAGGUUGAUAAGGAAUGGAGCAUUCCUUCACAAAAUGGAGGGUUUGAGCUCUAGUUAAAAGUGAUAAGAAUGGAAUGGUGGAAAAAAUGAAAUCAUUAUACAUUCAACUAAAGUAUAGUUUAAAUCUCAUUCCAUUCCCUACAUUUUCAUUCACCCCAACCAAAUACAACAUAAACUUUAAGCACCCUCUUAAAAUGAAAAAAAUAUAAACACCUCCACCAGAAUCAAUAAAAUUUCCUCUCUAAUUUUAAUACGUAAUGCAUGAGUAUAAACUUUGGUUGUCAACCGUUGGAGCAAACAUUGAUAAGAAAGGUGCAAAACUACAAGAAAAGGAAGAUAAAAUGAAAUAGUUGUAGUUGUGAUGAUUUGGCCUGUUUGGUUAUUUUGGUUGGCACCCUCAAGAUGCUCUGAAACGUGUGAAUCGUAAGGACUGAUAUGCAUUUCUAUAAUGAGCGUCAGGUUAUAUGCAUCUAUUUCUCUAUGAGGUUUUUCCUUGACAUUUAUGCACAGUUUUUAUAUAUAAUUAGGUAAUAUGGUAACUCGCAACUCUCAGGUCGGGCAUUUAGACAACCUUCGGUAGAAACUUUACAAAAAAUAUACUAGAACCGGCUGCUUACCAAAUUUUUUAAAGUCUAUUAAAAAUAAGAGCAAAUCCAAUGCAAUGUUAAAGGAGUAGAGUGAACUAUACCACACAACAAGUGAGUGCUUUAGAGACCAAUCCCUAACAUGUGUUAUAAUCCUAUUUAUGUUGGAAAAUGUGAGUUUUUUCUUCACAUUGUUAUGUCGAUUUUGAGUCACAUAUUUAAGUAAUGAUUGUUGUAUGAGCACGAGUGACGCUAGGAGCGUGUUCUCUUCCGAAAUUUUUUUUCAAGGCACUUUGAAUCACUCAAAAUGACUAAGAGAUCAAUGAGAUAAUAGUAUCCAAAGUAGGUCUUUUAGAAGUGGAAAAAUGAGGAAUGUGUUAGAAGUCCCGCAUUGAUAUUGCAAAAGAGAGUACUUGGCUUUAUAUAACAAAACACUUAUGAAGUGUUCACAUGAGUUACCAGUGUAUUGCUCCAACACCCACGUGUGCUAGUUCUCUUUCUUCAGGUUAGAUUCAUGAGAUAAAGAUUAUCGAACCAAAUUAGAGUUGUGCGAAUUCUUUCUUCAAACAGAAGUGUGUAUAGAUGUAUGUAUAUAUGUUUUUGGUGGUUUUUUCCAGAUUAGAUUCAUGAGAUAAAGAUUAUUGAACCAAAUUAGAGUUGUGCGAAUUCCUUCUUCAAACAGAAGUGUGUAUAGAUGUAUGUAUAUGUGUUUUUGGUGGUUUUUUUCAGAUUAGAUUCAUGAGAUAAAGAUUAUCGAACCAAAUUAGAGUUAUGUCAGAUUCUUUUUAGACAAAUAGAUACUUUAUAAACAAAUAGUUCAACGCUCCCUUUUUCAUGCUCCUUCCCUGCUAGGUCCCUUUCGAGACUGAGUCUAGAGCUUGUAACUUACUCGGUGGUCCUGAACACCGGUAGAUUGAGAUUCCUUCUUCAAAGAGAAGUGUGUGUAUAGAUGUAUGUAUAUAUGUUUUUGGUGGUUGGAUGAUGAAUCCUCUCCUAGUGCCAAAUUUUGAGAUAUUAUCUCUAAUUUUAUAAGGAGAAUUCUAUCUAUAAUUUCCAACCGUUUAUUCUGAGCUAUAAGUCUUCUAUAUACUAGCUUAUAGCCCGUGCAAAGCACGGGAAGUUUUUAGUUGUUUAUAAUUUUUUAAAUAUAUUUUAAAUGAUGUGAAAAAAAUUUAAUUUACAAAUAAUAAAUUAAAAUUUUCAAUUAAAUAAAAUUUGAAAUUUUGAUUUGUUUGUAAGUCGGAACUGUUGUAAGAAUAUAUAAUUUUUAUAUGUUGUUAGUAUAAUACAAAAUUAUCUUAAAUUUUAGUUGAAUCUGUCCAAAAUAUUAGUUUUACAUAAUUUUACAGUUAUGAGUAACUUAAUCUAACAUAUUUGUCUUUAAUAAUAAAAAUAUUUAAUAGCAUGAUGUAAUGCAUAUUUGUAUAUAAUUUUUCAUCUUUCUUUUUUAAUAUAUAUACUUGAAUAUAAAUAUUUAUUUAAAAAAUAUUUUUAUCUUAAAAUAUUAAUCUUUAUAUAAAAUAUUUUCGUUAAUAAUUUGAAUAUAAACAUGAUUAGUAUGUCUAUAUUGUUGAAAAUAAUAAAUAAGAUUAUAACACUUUAAUAUGUUCAAAUAAAAAUAUGCAUUUUACUUUUCAUACUUGUUUCUGUAAAAAAACAAAAAAAAACUUGGCACACAUGUUGGAUCAUCAGAUAGUGGCGAUGCCAAUAUGAAAUACACCAUCACAGCCAUUAAUGACUUCAAAUAAACUAUUAUAAUCAAAUCAUUCAUUUUCUCGUUUGUAUCGUGCCGAAGUAUUAAAUUCUUUUUAUCAAAUUUUGAUAUAUUUUGAGUAGAAUAUGUGACGCAAAACUUCUAUUAGAUUAUAUUUAUAAAUAUAUUUUAUAUUAAAAUUAUUAUAAUGUGAUUUAAAUAUUUUUCUAAAAAUUUAUAUGGUUCUAGAUUAAAAUUGAUAAACAAAAUUUGUUUUGAAUUAAGAAAAGGAAUCAUAAACAUGCAAUAAGAAUGUAUAAUUUGUUUUGAAUUAAAAAAAGUUUUUGAAUUCGUUCCUCACAUAAAUACGGCUUAUUAAUUUUUAAAUAUAUUAGAUAAAAAUAAUUUUGUGAUGGUGCAAUCUUUAUGAUUCUACAAAUAAAACUGGUAGAAAGUAUUUAUUUUGGAUUAAAAAAAUCAUUAACACAUGAAAAUAAGAAUUUGUAUUGGAUUCAGAAAAGGAAUUAUAAACAUACAUGCAAGUACAUAUUAGUUGUCUUAAAGAACAGAAGUUAAUUUUGUUCUAGUCUAAUCUAACGGUGCUUAUUUGUUCAAUACACAAUUAAGUUUUGAACCAUGCGACCAAAUUAUCUCCCUUGCGCUUAUUAUAUAUAAAUAUAUAAUAUAAUAACCUCUUAUUAGUUUCAUAUCCUUCCUCUUUGGGCUCUUGGUGGGCUUUUAUCUUUUUAGAUUGGAGGCCCAGUAAUAAUUUAAAGAUUAUAAUAAAGCGGGCUACCCACACGUGUAUAUGUAAUACUUCCAAACAUAAACAACAAGAAGAAAAGAAAAACAACAAGAAGAAAAGAAGAUAACCACAGAAGCUGAUGUUGAAGUGUUAUUAUUACUAGCCUUUAAAUCGUGCGAAGCACGAGCGAUUAUGAGCGAUUAUAUAGUUUGUAAUUUAUUAUUUAUAAUUUAAAUUUCAACAUCAUUUUAUUAGUAUUUUAAUAUUAAUGAUGAAUUGAAUUUUAAUUAAAUUAUAUAAACCAAGUAACCAACUGAUUAUAUUUUCUCACAAAAAUUUAGCUUUUACAAUUUAUUAUCUAUUUAUAAAUAUUUUUCUGUUAUCAAUAUGUGAUAAUUUAUUAUUCAAUUGAUUUUAAAUCAGAUUUUUCAUAUUUCGUAUAUCUUCAUAUGUAUGAAAAAUGAAUAUUUGUCGUGUAACAUGUUAGAAUUAGACUAGGUUAUGUAAUGAUUUGUGUUUGUAGAAAUCGAAAUAGAACAUUGUAGAGUUAAAAAGAAUUAUAUGAAGGUUCUUGUUAAUAAAAGAUAUUCCAAAUUAUAUAUUUAUAAUUUUAUUUUUGACAUCAUUGUAAUUAACCUCCACAUAUUGUAGAAUUCUAGUUACAGAGGGAGAGUAUCAAACCAAAAAUUAUAACUAAAAUCAUGGACUACAAAUUAUACUCAUGUUGGCUUAUUAUAGUAUAGAUAGAUAGAUAUAGAUAGUACUCUAAUGAUGACACAAAAAACAAAAAUUAUAACUAAAAUCAUGAACUACAAAUUAUUAUAGGAUGUUCAAUACAAAAAUGAUAACAUAAAAAAUAAUUUAAUAUUCAAUUCAUUACCGUUGCACAAUAUAAACAAGUCAUUUUAAUCUUGAUUAGAAUGUUUAAUACCAAAAUGAUAACACAAAGAUAUAAAUGUAAAAUUAGUCAAAAGCAUUAUUGUAAUAUCUGGGGAUUUCGCGAAUUGUAUAUCGAAUAUUAUAUGCAAAUGUGCCAUUUUAUGUGAAAUUAGAAAAUAAAUAAAUACUAUAUAAUAUUCCAGUUGGAUGAGGUGGUAUAUGAUUUAUGAAUUUGAGUUAACGGUCAAGGAACCGAAAAGUGAUUAUUUAUGAGGAUUUAAACGAGAAAUGAGUGGGUUGUUAAUUUCAUGGAAAAUAUAUGAGUACAUGAUUUUGUGACCCGUAUGUGUUGAUACGGUUAAGUGGAUAAAGUGAAUUUAUGACCGAUAAAGGAUAUCGGAUUUUACGCAAAUGACGGAAAUAGAAAAGUGUGAAUAAAUAUAUUUUGAUACAUUAAUUAAAUGAAAGUAUGAGAUUUGAUUGUGGAUGUAUGACUACGUGCUAUAUGACUUGUACGGGUUGAAAUAUGUGAUUGAUGUGGCUUUAGAUAAUUUUAAAUAUUUUAUCAUGUGAAAAUAUGAGUAUAUGAGCUUACAUAUUUUUGUAAAAUAUUUGAGAUGUGAUAAAAUCAUGGAAUUUGCUUUAUUAUCUCUAGAAUAUUCUUAAAGAUAUUUUAAGAAUGAUCGUUGAAUUUAUUUCAGUGAUUUACUAUUUUAAAAUGAUUUUAUAAUCAUAAUUUUGAUUAUCGAGCAUUAUCUUGUAAAAUUCAUAUAAAAUAAUCUAUGUGCUCAAAAAUUAUUUUAAAAAUAUGGGGAGUGAGGUAAUUUCAUAUUCUAUAUUUUAAAAAUAUAGUUCGAGUUGUUCAGAGCAAUUUCAUAGAAGUUUUAUAAUUUGCAAGCUCGUUUUUCAGGAAUUUUGCAGUAAAAGGGUAUUGGUUUCAAUUGUAUGAUUACUAAAUUGUCCCCGGCUAUAUCCUCUAAAUCACCAGCCCAGUUCUUUCUUAUUCAGUGUCGAGUUCUCUCGAACUCUCUUCAUCUCUCUCGGCUCUUCUCUCUCUCUCUCUGGUACUCUCUCCCUCCUCACCCCCUCUUCCUUUUUCGUGUCCGAUUCUCGAAUUGAGACCGGAUUUUUGUCUUGAAUCACUUCCUAAACUAUAUAGUUGUGGGUAUUGCUUGGUUUAUUAGAACCCACUUCGGGUUUAGUUCGAUUUUUGUGUUCUUGAAUUUGAUUCAUGGAAAAAUCUUGAUAAGAUGAUAACUUUGUAUGCAUAUUGGAUUUUGUAAAUUUUUAAAACAGAUUUAUGAGUUGGGCUUGAUUAAUAUUGAUUUGUUUUGAUGAUUGGGUUUAAGAUUAUGCAUACAAGUAUGAUGGUAUGCUUUUAGAAUGGUACUUUGAGAGUGUAAGUAGCGGAUUAAUGAUUUAGAACGUUAUAAAUUUGUAGACUGCUGCUG
rnacentral:lncRNA from 1 species